rnacentral:rRNA from 1 species
CCUACGGGAGGCAGCAGUGGGGAAUAUUGCGCAAUGGGCGAAAGCCUGACGCAGCGACGCCGCGUGAGGGAUGAAGGUCUUCGGAUCGUAAACCUCUGUCAGCAGGGAAGAACGGUCACUGUGCUAAUCAGCAGUGAAUUGACGGUACCUGCAAAGGAAGCACCGGCUAACUCCGUGCCAGCAGCCGCGGUAAUACGGAGGGUGCGAGCGUUAAUCGGAAUUACUGGGCGUAAAGCGCUCGUAGGCGGUAUGUCAAGUCAAGGGUGAAAUCCCCGCGCUCAACGUGGGAACUGCCUUGGAAACUGGCAAACUGGAGUGUGUGAGAGGAUAGUGGAAUUCCAGGUGUAGGAGUGAAAUGCGUAGAUAUCUGGAGGAACAUCAGUGGCGAAGGCGACUAUCUGGCACAUAACUGACGCUGAGGAGCGAAAGCGUGGGUAGCAAACAGGAUUAGAUACCCUAGUAGUC